rnacentral:rRNA from 1 species
UACAGAGGUCCCAAGCGUUGUUCGGAUUCACUGGGCGUAAAGGGUGCGUAGGCGGACAGGUAAGUCUGAUGUGAAAUCUCCGGGCUUAACCCGGAAACUGCAUUGGAUACUAUCUGGCUAGAGGGUUGGAGGGGGGACUGGAAUUCUCGGUGUAGCAGUGAAAUGCGUAGAUAUCGAGAGGAACACCAGUGGCGAAGGCGGGUCCCUGGACAACACCUGACGCUGAGGCACGAAAGCUAGGGGAGCAAACAGG